rnacentral:lncRNA from 1 species
GAUGGCGAGAGUGUAAACAUCGGAGGGAAUUCCAAGAGAAUCCAUUUGCUUAGAAAGAGAAAGCACAGUGGAGUAGUGUUUCAUGUUAGCGAUGGAGGUUAAAAUUUUGGCGAAAUCAACAACUGAGGGUGGAGGUUGCAUAUGAAGCAUUCGAUUAAAGGAAGAGAGGGCUUCAUCAAUCGUAUUAAAAUUCAGGGAUUUGGAAUGGAAGCUGCUACUAUGUGAUGAAGACAAUAAUUGAAGAGGAAGAGAAAGCAUCCAUGUACCGGAAGCAGGAGAAGAAGAAAGCUUUGUCAUCAGCAUCUUCAUCUCCAUCUCCAUCUCCAUCAUCAUCUUCAUCAUCGUGCAGCUUCAGCUUUACUCCUAACAUCACAACAUUUCGAUUUCACGUACUCUGCACUUUGGGUUUCGAGAGGAAGAUUAAUCUUGAGAAUUAAUUUCUCCUUUGGGUUCAGUCUCCGUCUAGAAUGUGGAGAGAGAGGAUUUUAUUAUUUUUAUAUUUUUAUAUUUGGGACGCUUAAGUAGUUAAGUGGCAGAGCAGACGGCAUAUGUAGUUUGAUAUUGUGGUCAAGCUUUCUCUUUUCAAAUGAAUGAUGUGGGCAUAAGGGUCUCCAAAAAGCCCGCGGCCCGCUUUAGGCCCGGCCUGGCCCAAGCCCGGUCCGAGCCCGUUUAUGGGCGGGCCGGGCCGAGGGCCUAAUUUUAGGCCCGGCCCGUCCCUUUAAAAAAAAACUACAAAAAUAAAAAGUAUUAAAAAAAAUAUACUUUAUUUUUAUAUAUAUAUAUAACUAACUCAUUUAAUAAGCACAAAAGGAAUGUAGCUCAGUUGGUUAGAGCCUUGAAAUUUAAGUUUGAGGGGAGGGGUCCAAAUCCCCCCCUCUCUCUUCCUUUAUUUAAAAGCCAUUUUGGCUUAUUUAAAAAAGCCCGCGGCCCGGCCCGGCCCGGCCCGUUGACCAGUCAACGGGCCCAUAGGCCCGGCCUGAGCUGGGCCGCGGGCCUCCUAUUUACGGCCCGGCCCGGCCCGGCCCGCCUGUUGGAGACCCUUAUGUGGGCAUGUGGGCUUGAAUUUCACAUCUGAGCCUGCCCAUUGACUGGUCAAUGGACUUCUCAGCCCAUUCACACAUAAGCGGGUUUUCAUUUUUAUUUUAUUUUAUUUUAUUUUUUAUCCAUAUGCUCCAAUACCAUUAUGUACAUAACCUAGUCCUCUUUUGUGUACUACUCCUUACAAUACCAUUAUUUAUUUUAUUAAUUAAUUAAUUAAUAAAUAAAAGAAAGAAAAAUUUGUUGAUGUCUAGUACAAUAUUGACCAUUGACCUAGUCAAUUACUUGCCCCACAAAUUUAAAAUUUCCAAAGGUUCAUGAACCCUCCAAAUGAAAAGGAAUCUUGUUUCCAACCACAAUUCAGGGAAAAUAUCUAACCUAAGCCCACCAUGGGGAUCCAUUCCCUGAUUUUCUAUAAAGAUUGCAAUCUCACAAACCAGCCAUUUGAUAUAAUGUAGAUGAAAAUAUUUUUUAUUUUUUAUUUUUUUUUAAGUUUGUUAAAAAAAGCUAGGAAAGUUUGAGAGAAGUAUAUUCUUAAAAAUUUAAUUUUCUUAUAGAGAAAAAAAUUAUGAUUUUCUUUAUUUUCUUAUCAUGAUUUUUUUUUCUUAAAUUUUAUAGGAAUUAAACUUAUGGGUGUUGUGUGGGAUCCUCCCCAAAAAGUGCCACGUGGCUCCCUCUCCCUUGGACACGCAGACCACCCCCCUUGCGACGCGUGACAUAGUUCAUUCCACCCGGGUAGGAAUUUUGUCCGGCCGACUUUCCACCAUCUCCGGAUAUCUCACAGUCGUAAUUCUGUCAGGACCAGCAUUCCACCAUCUCCGAAUAUACCACAUUCGACGCCUGUCACCGGAUGGGAGAGGAGGACGAUUCAACUUCCCCGGGCAGACAUGUCCGGAUCCGAAUGAGCUUGUCGUCGGAUGGGAGAGGUCGACGAUUCAGCUUCCCCGGACAGACAUGUCCGGAUCCUCCGGUAACGCUUACUUGGAGAAUAUCCGUAGCCGACGAUUCAGCUUCCUCGGACAAACAUGUCCGAAUCCUCUGGUAACGCUUACCCGGACAGCUUCCCCGGAUAGUUUGGCUCGUUAGAUACUCGCGAUUCGCUGGAUCCAUUUCCGCCCACAAUCAAAAAGCAAACUCUAACAAUACUGACGAUCAAGUCUCUUGAACUGUCACUCAUCUUUAAUGCAAGAUACAUUUGACAAGACAUUCCCAAAUCUUCUCAAGUCGCCUGACACAUCCCCGAUAUUUAAAGUCAUAAAUUGAGGCGACAUUCGCCGCCUGAAUACCUUCCUGACAGCCGCCACCUGGCACCAGAAACGUCAUGAUUGCUUCGCCACAAUCAUGACGAUGGGACCCGCUAGCACAGCGGGGCCAUACUUUCUAACUCAUAUAUAAACUCUAAGGAGACUCUCAGGAAGGUAAGCAAAAAAGGAACAAGCAUCCUUGAAGCAAUAAGCAAUAAGUAACAAAGAAUAAGCAUCCUUGACGAAAAUCACGGAGCAACACUCCCAAAGGAAAACUCUAUUUUCCAACAACUUCCAAAAGACUAACUUAAUCAUUGGAGGGUAUGUCCGGACAACCCAUCCGGACAUCUUUUUGCAGGAGGAAGGAGAAUUCACUGUAACGCGUUGAUCGAGAUUCCGUUGCUGGUGACGACUAUUGUAGCAGGGGAAUUUUGUCAUCAACAUGUUGGGUAAACCAACUUAAUAACUUAAAAUGACUUAAUUUUAAUUAUUAAGUAAAUUAAAUAUAUUUGGUAAAAUAACUUAAUGAUAUUACUUAAAAUAAAAAAUAACUUUAAGUAAUAAAUAAAAAUAAUUAACUUAUUCUUAAAUCCACAUCUUUAUUUUAAUUUUUUAUCUUUAUUUAUUAUAAUUACCUCAAUGAUUUUUUUUGUUAUUUCAUGAUCUCUAUUGUUAUUUAACCUCCUUUGUCAUAAUUAUAAUUUAUGAAGAUAAAUAUAUCAAUUUUUAGAUUUAAAAUAAUUUUUAUCAAACAAUCUUUAUACUUAAAGUAAAAAUUAAAUAAUAAGUUUUAAGUAAAUAACUUAAAUAUAAUUUAACUAAAAAUAAAUUUAAGGCAUUAAGUAAUAAGUAUUAAGUUUUACUAAACACCCCAUAUAUAUUAGAAUAUCACAUCUCAUUAAAUAAAAAAUGCACAUUUCUUAAGUGAUAUGAUAUAUUUGGAUGUUAUUAUAUAUAUAUAAUGUUACGUUUAUAUUUAGCUAUAAUGCCUACUGACAUUUGGUUGAUAGAUACGGGUGCAACUACUCACAUAAGUGUCACGAUGCAGGGUUUCCUAAGGAGCCGAAUGCCAACUGAUGGUGAAAGAUACAUCCAUGUGGGAAAUGGCAACAAGGUUGUAGUCAAGGCUAUUGGUAUUUUUAGAUUACAUUUAAACUCUGGAUGUACUUUAGAUUUGGAAGAGACUUUCGUAGUACCGUCGUUUAGACGAAAUUUAAUUUAUGUUUCAUGUCUGGACAAAUGUGGAUAUUGUUGUUCAUUUAGAAAUGGAAUGGUUAGUACAAGUAGUCUAACAGACAAAUUAUACAAAUUGAACAUAAAGGCCUCUAAUGGAAAUGAAACCUUGUAUUCAAGUAAUUAUGACAUUAAGCAAAAAUUAACAAAUGAGAAUUCAUCAAUGUUAUGGCACAAAUGUUUAGGUUAUAUUUCAAAUCAACGUAUUGAAAGGCUUGUGUCAGAAGGAAUUCUUGAACCACUUGAUUUCUCAGACUUUCAAGUCUCUAUAGAGUAUAUUAAGGGUAAACAAAUAAAUAUGAGAAAAAGGGAUGCCAAUAGGUGCGGUGACAUCUUGGAAUUCAUACAUAUGGAUGUUUGUGGUCCAUUUCCUACCCCUUUUUGGAAUGGACAACAAUAUUUUAUUACUUUCAUUGACGAUUACUCGCGUUUUGACUAUCUUUAUUUGAUUCAUGAGAAGUCUCAAUCAUUGGAUGUGUUCAAGAAUUUUAAAGUUGAAGUUGAGAACCAAUUAAGCAAGAAAAUAAAGGUCAUCAAAUUUGACCGUGGAGGUGAAUAUUAUGGUAGAUAUGAUGGAUCCGGUGAACAACGUCCAAGGCUAUUCGCUAAAUAUUUGAUGGAGUGUGGUAUCAUUCCUCAAUACACCAUGCCGGGGACUUCAAGCCAAAAUGGUGUAGCAAAGAGGUGAAACUGUACUCUUAAAGAUAUGGUAAGAAGUAUGAUCAGUCAUUCCACCUUACCAGAAUCACUUUGGGACGAAGCUGUCAAAAUUGCAGUUUACAUUUUGAAUAAAGUUCCAAGCAAAGUAGUAGCCAAAGCCCCAUAUGAGUUAUGGACUAGCAAGAAACCUAGUAUUAGGCACUUGCAUGUUUGAGGUUGUCUAGCUGAGGCUAGGCCUUACAAACCAAAUGAAAAGAAAUUGGACUUCAGAACAGUGAACUACUACUUUGUAGGGUAUUUUGAAAAGUCGAGAGGCUUCAAGUUUUAUGACCCCUCAACAAGAUCCUUCUUUGAAACGGGCAAUGCUAAGUUUGUUGAGGAUGUUGAGUUAAGUGGGAGAGAGCCAUUAAGAAAGGUGGUAUUUGAAGAAGAAUCUGUUAGUAUUCUUAUUAUUACAACUAGACAUGGUCAUAUUAUGUUUAAUGACACUAUCCAGAAUGUACAGCCAAUAACAGAGAUUGAAGACACACCUGAGAUUCCUCCUACUUAAGUUAUGGAACCAGUUCAAGUUCAUGAAGAGGUAACUCAACAACCUCAAAAACCUCAAGUACAAGUGCCAUUGAAGAGAUCCACUAGAAAAAGGAAAAGUACAAUUUCAGAUGAUUAUGUUGUAUAUCUCUAGGAACAUGAGUUUGACAUGGGUCUGGAAGACAAUCCAAUUUUAGUUAGUCAAGUUAAACAAAGUUCUGAUUUUGAAAAGUGGAUAGAAGCCAUGAAGGAUGAGAUGAAAUCAAUGAAAGACAAUGGUGUUUGAGACCUAGUAGAGUUGCCUAAAGGUGUAAAACCGAUUGGUUGUAAAUGGAUUUUUAAGACCAAGUAUGAUUCAAAAGGCAACAUUGUUAGGUAUAAGGCAUGCCUAGUCGCAAAAGGUUUCACUAAAAAAAGGGCAUUGAUUAUAAGGAGACCUUUUCACCGGUUUCGUUAAAGGACUCCUUUAGAAUCAUCAUGGCACUUGUAGCUCAUUAUGAUUUAGAGCUGCAUCAAAUGGACGUUAAAACUGCGUUUUUUAAUGGCAACAUUGAUGAGACAAUAUACAUGGUGCAACCGGAGAACUUUGAGUCUAAUGAUUCAAAGCAACUUGUAUGCAAAUUAAAAAGGUCCAUAUAUGGUUUAAAGCGGGCAUCCCGACAAUGGUACCGAAAGUUUGAUCAGGUGAUUACUUCAUUUAGUUUUAAGGAGAACACUAUUGAUCAAUGCAUAUAUCUCAAGUUUAGUGGGAGCAGAUUCAUUAUCUUGGUGCUAUAUGUUGAUGAUAUUUUACUUGCAAGUAGUGAUAUGGAACUUUUGCAUGAAACCAAGCGAUUUCUAUCCAGUAAAUUUGACAUGAAGGAUCUUGGUAAUGCAUCUUUUGUGCUGGGUAUACAGAUCUAUAGGGAUCGUUCAAGAGAUAUACUUGGGCUAUCACAAAAGUCCUACAUCGAUAAGGUGUUGAGUAGAUUUGGCAUGAGCAAUUGAGCACCAGGAGACACGUCUGUGGCAAAAGGCGAUAAAUUUAGUUUGCACCAAUGUUCGAAAAAUGAACUUGAGAAGAAGGAUAUGGAAAGGUUUCCCUAUGCCUCGGCAGUAGGAAGUCUCAUAUAUGCAUAAGUUUCUAUGCGUCUGGAUAUUGCGUACAUUGUUGGAAUGUUAGGCAGAUAUUUGAGUAACUUAGGUAUGGAUCACUGGAAAAAGGCAAAACGGGUUAUGCGGUAUUUACAAAGAACUAAAGAUUAUAUGCUCACAUUUAGAGAUUAUGGGAUAUUCGGAUUCCUAUUUCGCGGGAUGUCUUGACAGUAGGAGAUCCACUUCAGGAUACAUCUUCAUGUUGGCUAGAAGAGUAGUUUCAUGGAAAAGUGUUAAACAAACACUUAUUGCUUCUUCCACCAUGGAGGCAAAAUUCAUAGCCUGCUACGAGGCAUCAAACCAUGGGAUAUGGCUGUGGAAUUUUAUCACUCAGUUGCGGAUUGUUGAUGGAAUUGAGAAACCAUUGAGAAUCAAUUGUGAUAAUAAGACCGCAGAAUUGUAUUCUAAGAACAACCAAAGUUCGUCAAAGUCCAAACACAUUGACAUUAAGUUCUUAGUUGUAAAAGAAAGAGUUCAGAGUCUUCAAGUAUCAAUUGAACACAUAAACACAAACUCCAUGAUUGCGAAUCUGCUCACUAAGAGUUUGCCACCCAAAGUAUAUCAUGAGCAUGUUACAUAUAUGGGUGUUGUACGCAUUGAUGAUGUGCUAGUAUAGUGGGAGUUUGUAUUUAGAUUUUGUGUUUGUUUACUUAAUGUGAUAUUAUGUUUGUGUUAUUUGUAUAGAACUUGAUUUUAAAGGCUAUUGUAUUUGAAUACUCUAAAUUGAAAUGAUGACUUUCAGAAGCAGUUUAGCAUCAAGUGUUGAAAGUGGAAUUUGACUAUUUUUAGUCAUAAAGUAGGACCAAUUGGAAAGAGACAUAUUAAAGAUCACAUUCUAUGUAAUUUCCAUGCUACACAUCCAUACUUGAUCCAUGUUGCUAAUUUUGUUAAUGUUGUGAUCAUUGAUGGGUCUAGUUAUAAUUAUGAUUAAUGAAGGUCGCUUUGAUCAUGUGUUAGCAUAAUUAGUAAACCGGAUUGUUUAAGGAUAUUUGAAUAGAUGAGCUCAAUGAAGUAUUAUCAUGAACAUUGUUGGCUAAUAUAUGUGGUCCAAGUGGGAGAUUGUUAGAAUAAAUGUGGACCCAAAUCAUAUUAACCAUUGUUUAGGAUUUAACUAUCCAUAUAUAUGUGAUUUCCAUUUGAUCUAGAGUAUAGGCCACCUUAUGUGUAGAGCCCAGUGCCAUAAUGGGUCUUAAAUGAUGGGUCUAAGACUCGCGAGACCCAAUAGUCCAAAGGGUAUGGUCCCUAAGGCAUAGAGGGUAUAUAUAUAUAAGGCUAAGUGUUUGUUCUUUUUAAAUAUAUCUUUUGAAUAAGAACAAAACUCGUUCUCUCCCGCUCCCAUCGUCAGAGAGAUUACAUAAUUGGUGGAUAGCCCUCUACAUCCUUAGAAGAUUCGUAUCUCUUCAUCAAACGAAUAAUGGAUUCCGGUUGGUUCCCCGUCUAGAGAUCAAGACAUAUUUUAAUGCUUGAUAUGUUUAUAUAUAUAUCGUGUAUCUGCUUUUGAUGAUAAUGGAGAAUAAAACUCCCUACAUAUAAAGCAUUCAAUUAAAGGAAGAGAGGGCUUCAUCAAUCGUAUUAAAAUUCAGGGAUUUGGAAUGGAAGCUGUUAUUAUGUGAUGAAGACAAUAAUUGAAGAGGAAGAGAA